AAAUGUAUAUAAAAGUGGAAAAAAAUCUCUCUCAAAUAAAAACCUUAAGUCUCUAUUUUUCCAAGCUAAGGGCAACGUCCUCUCUCUAGCCAGGGACAUGGCUGUGUCCUCCUACUAGACCUGAGGUUUGGGGACCAGGUUCCCUCUGCAGAUCCAUCUCCCCUUAGCCCCAUGACCACACAACAGUUCUGGAUCUCACCAUUAGGCUGGGUUCUCUGCAUAGCCUCCAGCCCCUCUCCUGGACUGUCCUUCAGAGUCACUCCACACCUACCUAGCCAAGUCUUGUCCCCACUCAACUGCUCAAGGACCAUAUCUGAAUUCUGCCUCUCCCCUACCUCUAAUCUCCUGUUCCUCUUUUGCACUAGAACAGGACUGAGCUAUCAGUCCUCAGAACCCAAUGAGCUGCCCCACUUGCCUGCAGCAUCCUCAGCCCCUGUACGCCCCAUUCAGCCUGCACAACCCAGGCGCCUCCUCUCCCUUGCAGUCUUCUGAUCCCCCUGGUGCACUGAGCACCUACUCCUGGGGUUGACUUUCCCUUUUACAGCCCUUCACAGCCACAGUGUCAACCAGCUCAAAAUCUAGUUUGUACUGACACAAGCAAUCUGUGGCCAGCACUGAGGGAAAGGGGAUAGGAGAUAAUCCUGCUGUUUGUCCCCAAAGUGGACCCAGGGAAUCUGAGGGGGAAUCAGAGGGAGACUUCUCACUGAACCUAAUUACCACAAAGCCAGCACUGCAGACAAAGGAUGAGCAGAGACCAUUACCCCACACAUUUAGGGCCUCAGCCCGGGGGGGGGGGGGGCUCUGUACUGAGCAGCAGGGAUUCCAGGUGCCUGCAUGUGAUGUGGAGGCAGGCUCUGUGUCUCACUCUGUGAGGACCAGUUCCUGGAGGAAGGAGCUAUGUGCUCAGCAGUAUUUGCUGGAGAGGGCUCUCAGCCACAGGUGAUUCUGCCUAAGAGACAUCUGGCAAGGUCAAGACAUUUUUGGUUGUGACUAUGGCAGGUGGGUGAGGUGGGGGCUGCUACUGGGUAGAGACUGUGGUACUGCUAAGUGUCCUGCAAUACUGGGCAGCCUCCAGAUGAGGAACAGCUUCCAGUCAAUGGUGCCCAGGCUGACCCUGUUGCUAAGACACCAGUGUCUUGGCACUCACCCACAAACCCAGCACUAAGGAAGUAGAGGCUGAGGGUGUGGGGGCAGGGGAUAAGGAGUGAUGUGGGAGUGUCAUAUAUCAAUCUGUUGAUUUCAUUGGUUAAGUAAUAAACACACUGCUUGGCCUCAUAGGUUAAAGCAUUGGUGGGAGGAAUAAACAGAAUAGAAUUCUGGGCGGAGGAGGAAGUGAGGUCAGACUCUGCUCUGCUCCCGGACAGCAUGGACGGAGUCCCGGAGAGACUCUGCUCUCAGGAGCACAGACACCAUGCUUCACUCUCCCAGGAUGGACGGAGGCUAGAAUCUUCCCAGGCUACUGGAAUAACCAUCUUCCCAGGACCUGCACAUGGUGCAGGGCAGAAAGAAGCCCUUCAUGAAGACCCACCUGAGUAAAUACGCCUCUGUCCCCAGCCAGUCACACCCAGCAAAUAAAUGUGGCACGCUGUUUUACUGUUUGUUGAAAGUAACACCCGACACUGAGAUGAACUACUGGGAAAGUUCCUGUCACCUUCCCAAGCCACACCACUGGCACCGCAAAAACUACGACUGCCAUGCCAGCCAUCCUGCAGGCAGGGUCGCUUUACAAAAGCGGAGGAAGGCCUCCCAUCAGACACAGAAUGAGACCCGGUGGAGCGGAGCUGGCCACUGGCAGAGUGCUCAGUGAGCAGAGGGAGACCUCUCUGCCAGCACCAGGUAAACAGCUCUGGGCAUUUGCUCCCAGGCUUGUUCUGAGAAACUGAGCUCAGUUACACCCUCUCACAGGACAGACUUUUCUAUUUUCAGGAACCACACAGGCCUACACUGCUGUGUCAUACAGGGAAGCAUCAGCUUGGAGAUUCCAGUCUCAAAUAAGGAUCAGAUUACCAUUAUUAUUUUUAUUUUUUUACAAAGAUGCCCAGAGUCUUGAUGGUGUUACCGAAUCCCAUGGCUAGGACAAUAAACACUGAAGCCAUGA